UACGGAGGGUGCAAGCAUUAAUCGGAUUUAUUGGGCGUAAAGGGCGCGUAGGCGGUAGGAUAAGUCGGAUGUGAAAUCCCGGGGCUCAACCUCGGAACAGCAUCUGAAACUGUUUUACUAGAGGAUAGGCGGAGAAAACGGAAUUCCACAAGUAGCGGUGAAAUGCGUAGAUAUGUGGAAGAACACCGGUGGCGAAGGCGGUUUUCUAGCUUAGACCUGACGCUGAGGCGCGAAAGCAAGGGGAUCAAACAGG
rnacentral:rRNA from 1 species